GCCGUUUGAUGGACGAAAUGGCUCCUCUAAGGUUCACGGGGGAAAUGACGACUUCCGUGAGGCCAAGAGGAUGAAAAACGCGUCCCACCGCUAAGGCGUGCCUGCAGUCCUCUAAAAGGAAGGAUCACACACCUUCGGUGCAGUCAGGGACUGUCAUUGUCACUUCUGUUGGUAUGCUCAGGUCCAACAACUUUUCUGCCUAGCACUGUGCAACUCUCAGCUAUGAUGAUAUGACACAAACGAAUGGAGGACCCAGCACAGGUGGCACAUGUUGAAGCUCAUUUAAGGAUGGUUGAGUGCUGGACAAAUGAAUAAAAGGAGAAGCUUCACAACCAUCCUCAUUGGAAUAGUGUGGGCAUGUGCCUUACACAUGACAAAAGAGAUAAAUUCCUACUGGAUUUGUAGAGGUGAGGUAAUGUAUUUGAAAUACAGUGUGGUCGAGUAUAAAACAGAAAAAUAUCUUUUUCUCUUUGGCAUGUAUUAAGAAAGGCUGUUAUGAUAGUAUUCAUUUCACAUCCACACAGAGAGGAAAUGAGAGUUGUGGUCAGCAGUAGUCAGCUGGAACAAGGGACCCUGAAAAAGCACAGCUAUAGCCUUGCAUAUGGGAUCAGCUUGCAGCUAAACACCGAGCAAGUGCUGCAGGCACACAGAGCUGAAAACAAAUCUUUCCCACAUCCAAGGACUAAGCAAAAAGGGGAAGUGCUGUUUAAGAGAAGUGCUCACAAUAUGAAGAGUUCUGUUUUUGGGGCCUUAUUCUGUACUCAAACAAGCAAAUCCAUUUCCAUUAACUCUCACUUGCAGAACUGGCAUGGAAUUUAGACGUCAGGGUACAAAAUCAUUCAUCAUCAUCACCCUUUGUCAAUUUAUAGAGGAAAAUGAUGAAGUGUACAACUACUGUUUUGCUCCUCAUUUGAGGAAUCUGACGUGGCAUGCAUAGACGUGUUGAAUCUUGCAAUGCUGUAUUUAUGUUGAUAAGACUUAUGCCAUAUCUCUUUGGGUAGGCUGGGGCUGUAUUUUAGUGUUUAAUUGCCACUGGUACUAGUUGAAACCCAACUCUGUAUCAAGAUGUGUUUAACAGGAAUAAAAGAUCUGUAAUUCUAAAUCU